GACGAACGCUGGCGGCGUGCUUAACACAUGCAAGUCGAACGGAAAGGCCUGCUUUCCCUUGUGGAUUUCGGGUACUCGAGUGGCGAACGGGUGAGUAACACGUGAGUGAUCUGGCCCCAACUAGGUUAUAAGCCCGGGAAACUGGGUCUAAUGCCCGAUAGGACUGCAGGGUUCUGCCGGGGGUGGAAAACUAGUUGCUAGUGGUUGGGGCUGAGCUGCCGCCCUAUCAGCUUGUUGGUGGGGUAAAGUCCUACCAAGGCGGCGACGGGUAGCCGUCCGGUGAGGGUCGACGCUGGAACUGGGACUGGGACCAGGCCCCGACUCGUGCGGGAGGCAGCAGUGGGGACUAUUGGACAGUGGGCGGAAGCCUGCUGCAGCGACGCAGCGUGGGGGAUGACCGCAUUCGGGUUGUAAACUCCUUUCGACCGCGAGGAAGGCACCUGGUUGGAAGGGUGGUGACGGUAGUGAUAGAAGAAGCACCGGCUAACUACGUG
rnacentral:rRNA from 1 species